rnacentral:tRNA from 1 species
GCUCAGUUGGUAAAGCACAAGGCUCUUAACCUUGCCGACGUGGAUUCAAGUCCCAU